ensembl:snRNA U1 U1 spliceosomal RNA
AUAUUUCCCUGGCAGGGGAGAUACCAUGACAGUGAAGGUGGUUUUCCAGGGUGAGGUGUAGCCCUUGCACUGUGGAUGUGCUGACCCCUGCAGUUUCCCCAAAUGUGAGAAACUCGUCUGCACAAUUUGUGGCAGUGGGGGACUGCGCUCACACUUUAUCCUG